CAAUGAAAACUAUUUUUAAAACAUAGAAAGAGAACUAACAACUGCGACGACUUGUUAAAUGACAAACUCAUUGUCAUACUCCUGAAUUAGCAAAGUGAGAAUCCAAAGAAACCUUAAAUACAUCUUUGAUAUAAUCAAGAGAUAAAUUUAUGAUCAAGAUCACACACAUGAGUGUGAAGAAAAGGCAAUUAAGAGAACUUACCAAGCGAAUGGGCUCUAAAAGGUCAUACCUUAUAUAGUCGCGAGCAAGGUCAUCAGAGCUUCUUUCUAUGCUAGUAUCACCUUGUCCAGAAGUCCUUUCCCCUUACAUGAAUACAAACCAAGUGUCAAAUGUGAUAGCAUGGAAGAAGCAAAACCAGAGCAACCAAACCGUAUGACUUGUAGAUGGAAGGACCUUUAGACACAGAAAUGUUUUUUUUUAUAAAAAAAAAGUAACAUCGCUAGCAAUAGACCACUUUAGAUAAAUAGAAGCAGAAAUAUUUUUCUCAAACAAAGUAUAAUGCUAAUGUCUAUUCAAAGAAAAAGCAGAAGAGCAAGAUAAACACUCAAAGCAAAAACGAGAUAGCAAUAAACAAUACCCAAGGUUACAUUGUUGACCAAAAUAAAGCAAAAGAAAGUAAUUCAUAAUCAUACCUUGCAUCCUUAGUGUGUGGAUGACAAUAAUACCCAACAUAAUUAUCCAAGUCUUGAACAGUGGCCUCAAAAUCACCAAAGUAAAGACUUUCUUCUCGAAAAGCCUUUGCUCAGCCGAUACAAAUUUUUCUGCUGCAGCCCAAAAAGGUAAAUGGCAACAUAAAACUUCAAAUAAGUUGAGUGAGGAAAUUCAACAAACAAUUUGGGUGCACAAUCCACUUUAAGUUUCAGUCAUUUCGAUACCUUAAAUUUUCCAUAAAAGGGUUUAAUUCUGCACUAAUUAGCCAUGAUACAUGUGCAAAUCUGAGGAGUAUAUUGAUACUGAAGAUAGGAAUGUAAGUGAGAGGAAGGCAGAGAAACUGAAAGAACCAUAGACUAAGAACGGUGAAGGAGAAUGGAAUUAGAAGUGAAGUAAAAGCCAGAUGUCUUACAUAAUUAAAAAGGCAGACAGGUGUCACUAUAAAAAAGAAAAUUCCUGAUGCUGCAAUUGAAGUAAAUACACGUGUAGGUAAUAGAUCCAAUAACUAAAGUCCAUUGUCCGUUACAAUUGAAGUAACUUUUUGUACA
rnacentral:lncRNA from 1 species